rnacentral:lncRNA from 1 species
GUAUAAAAAAUUUUCUAUAAAAAAUUCAAGCAAUUUGAAUUGCUCUACACCGUUAAACAAGCAAACGGCUCAUAUAGGUCGUAAAAAAUUAUCGAUUUUAUGACACUUUGAUCACCAUGUAAAUCAUUAUCAAAAUUUAUGAAAUUUAGUUUCUAGAUAUUUCAAAUACUCUAGAUCAACUUCAACGGCUCCGAUCAUCGAUUUGGAAUCUUGUGAUUUGCACUAAA